rnacentral:rRNA from 1 species
AUUGAACGCUGGCGGCAGGCUUAACACAUGCAAGUCGAGCGAGCGGCGGACGGGUGAGUAAUGUCUGGGAACCUGCCUGAUGGAGGGGGAUAACUACUGGAAACGGUAGCUAAUACCGCAUACCAUCGGAUUUGCCCAGAUGGGAUUAGCUAGUAGGUGGGGUAAAGGCUCACCUAGUCGACGCUCCCUAGCUGGUCUGAGAGGAUGACCAGCCACACUGGAACUGAGACAGGGUCCAGACUCCUACGGGAGGCAGCAGUGGGGAAUAUUGCCCAAUGGGCGCAAGCCUGAUGCAGCCAUGCCGCGUGUGUGAAGAAGGCCUUCGGGUUGUAAAGCACUUUCAGCGGGGAGGCGUUACCCGCAGAAGAAGCACCGGCUAACUCCGUGCCAGCAGCCGCGGUAAUAC